GCUCAGGCAAAGAAGAUUGUGAUCUGUGUAGGCUGCAAUACUAUAGCACCUUGGACAGAGCAGUUCAGGCAGAAACCAAGGAGUGAAAAAGGAGCUCUGGAAAGGCUGCUAAGGCGGCCACUCCAUGGUGGAGUGGCCAUGGAGAAGUAGCCCAAGGAAAUGCAGCAGUAGUCGAGGCAAAGGAAUGCAGUAGGCAACUGCAGUUCAGAGGAUCCCUGGCCAGGACCUGGAGCAGUGGGUGAACCCAGAUACCCCACACUCACCACUGGGGAAGUGACUGGACAGCUGACUGCAGAUCCCCCAGAAGGGGGGGAAGCACAGAUGGUGACACAGUUGGAGGGCUGUCCCAUGAAAGGAAACUAUAGUCCUUGGAGUGACGUGGGUCCGAGAGCAGACGAGACGCACCAUCGGGAGAGGGCAUACCGACCUGUGGAGCUAAUCCUCCAGUAGGAGGUGCCACCAUGGAUGGACUAGAUCUGUGGACAUUCUUACUCAAAGAAAAUAAUUUUUCAGGCAUUAUUAAUAAGAACAAGAUCCUGGAAGAGACCGUAGGAACACUGGCCAGACUGAAAGGUUAGAAGAGAGAAAACAAGCUUUCCUUCUUUUUCAACUCCCAAUCAUUUUUUCAGCUUUGAACUAAAUAUCAUUGAAUGGAAAUUGUUAAACUGAAAUGAAGACAAUAUUCUCUCUGCACCUGCAAGAGACUACUGCUGUCAAAAACGGGCUUAGCAUUUCAACAAACUCUGCUGCCAGGUGCUUAGUUAGUGACUUCCACCAGUUUAGAAUUUGACUUUUUUUAAAAAAAAAAGUUAGCAACAAACUUGCUGAAUUGAAUAUUAUAUUUUAUUUAAGAUUAUCUUAACCUUAGUAAAUUUAGG